AUAUUUAACUACACUUAAUUAAAUAAAUAAUAUAUCCUAAGGAGAUGUGUGAUGAAAAAGAAAAUUAGCCUCAUUUUGAGUGCCUUUUUAGCUGCU
rfam:Streptococcus dysgalactiae subsp. equisimilis RE378 DNA, complete genome.